GCGGAAUGCAAGGCACGGCAGCACAACAGCCAACGCGGUCACAGCAGCAGCAACCCAGCCAGCCAGCCCAAAAACAACAACCUUCCAGAGUGAGCAAUCAGUGCGUCUGAAAGAAGAAAAGACCAUCCCGAAAAGAGAAAGAAACCAAAUCAAAGGGUGUACACGGUACGGUGUACGACGAUUGUGAAGAAUUAUUUGCCAUCAAAUUCAGUGCCUCUCUCAAACAGAAUCAAAUACAAGCAAGCAAGCAAACAGUGGAAUCCGUUCAAUUUUCAACCACACCCUCUAGCACACGCCCAGCAAAGCCUGACAAAAGUCCUUGAAGCGAGCAGCAAUAAACCGAGGAGUGCAUGCGUGGGUGGUGAAGUCGUCCAGGGAGCCAUCAUCAUCGUAUACGUCCUAGGAGGAGUCACGGAGGAAGCGAGGCGCAAUCGCCCACACAGAAUUGCUUAAUCCUCCGCAGGAACCAAGAAUAACGCAGCAGCAGCAGCAGCAGCAGUGCUUCCGUUCGACUGAGAGCUUUAAAAUACGCGCACACACCAUAGGAGACACACCCACAAAAACGGGGUGGGCUGCAUUCGAUCUGUGAACCACUGAUAGUGACAGUGUGUGAGAAUACCUGCAUAGCCGGAAUCAUAAAUUGCAAUCGAGAGACGGUCUGAGACGGGGCCUAUAGGAUACAUACAUAGAGGAAUAUAUUUUGAAUUGCGUUGUAUGUGUGUGCCUGAAGGAAGCAAAAGUGCACUACUCUUCUGUCAUACCUCAAGAACGCUUUACUUCUACCACACUACCCAGAGAGAUAGGAAACGUUUAUUUUUUCACCGAUAGUAUCUGACAAGUUCCUACGCAACGGCGGAAGCCAUUUAUAAGCGCGCGUUUGCUGCUGCUUUCUCUCUCUCGAAUGAAGACAUAAAAAUUCAAAAUUCCUCAAACCCAUAGAAGAAGAGAGCACAAGAGCGCGUGAGUCAAGCUCGAGGCAAUUGUGUGGACACGUUUUGCAAAAAGCGUCAAUAAUCGGCCACCGCGUUGCCGCAAUUCCGUCCGUGUCCGGUUCGCGGUUGAUUGACGCCGACGCGUCGGAAGUAAAUGCGUACAUUUGUGCGGGUCGGGUUGUCCAUUGUACGUUACUGUUUGCCAGCUCUACAACCUGUCUCUCACGUCGCCACACGAGCUCAACCGGCGCGAAGAUUCGGUGAUCGCGAUCAGCCGCAGCAGCGCGCAAGGUGUUUAAAUUUAGCAGCUUCCCGCACGGCACAACCUGAGGGACGGAUAUAUCCGCGCACAAACCCUGGUACUGUCUGUGUGUGUUUGACUGUAUUGGCGGCUCGUGUUUAACACCUCUCACCCCCAGUGCGACAGAGUGAGAGCGCUUUUUAAACAAGACGAACCCCGAAAAUCACGCCGUUGGCUGAUGGGCAGCAGAUCGGAUUUUGCUGAAGGUUGCUGAUUCGCAAAGUACACUUAGAAGCUUACGUGGAGAGAGAGAGAGCAAAUUGUGCUCCCGAAGUAGAGGGAAGUCAAGAAUCCAGCCUACCAUACUCUAAUCUAUAUCUAUAGACUACACUCCACACACACACACACUUCGCGUUAAAUGAGCCCGAGUCGGUGCCAUUAUUGUUAUCACUGUUGUUGUUGCGGUAGCGGAAGUCGGAAUCGAGUCGUCAGUACCGGCAGCGGACGGAUCGGUGGCACAGGUCCGCUCGGCUGGAUGCAGCUCUGGCAGCGCAAGGUAGCGAUCGCUGGCAGUAGGGAAAAGUUUGCCGAUUAACGCCCGCCAGGCGAAAGCAGCAGCGAAAAAGGGUCAAUUCCGUGGACAGGCGAGCAAGGCUAACGUGGUACGGGAACGGUAUAGUACAAGUGAGGAUGGAGGAGCAUUCGGCAAAGUUUUUGGGUGCAGCGACAGUAGCAGCAGCGGCGGGUGCUGCCAGCACGAAGUUGUCUCACAUGGGUGAGGCGUCGGCGGCGGCAGUGGCCGUUCCUGCGAGCCAGCAGCUGCGACCCGGAACCGGGAAUGCAAGUGAUGCGGAAGUCUGUGAUAGAAGUAACGUGGUUACUAUGGAUGAGUUGGGAGCGAUCUUACCACCUGCCGGCGGCGAGCCGGUAGAGGACAGCUGUACCGAUACGGACGAUCAGAAUAGCAAUUAUCUAAGCAUUAGCAACAGCCGCAGCAGCAGCUGCUUCGACCUACCCGGCGAGUGUUCGCCGAUGAUGGGCCCGGCGAGAUUGAAGCCGGUGUCGCCGGAGGAGGAGAGCCUGCGGAUGACACUUGUAAACGAGCGGUACAUACAGUCGGGACAGAUGGGGGUGGUUCUGACACCGGGCGAGCUGCUGGGUGAAGGUAGCAAAGAAUCCGGCUCAAAGCCACGGCUCGACGACGAAGAGGAGGAGGACGAUGACGAUGAGGAUGAGGAUUCGUCCAUGCUAACACAUUCGGCCGCAACGACGGCAACCGUGUCGUCCAACAAGUCCCGCAUACUGGUGGUGGGUGGAACGGACCAGCAACCCGGUUGUUCCAAUGGCAGCAGCAGCAGCAGCAGCAGCAGAGUGCCGGAAGCUGGCGUGUGUUGCAACAUAGUUGACAAUCCGGUCAGCGAAGCAGCGGGUGGCAACAGCACGGUGGUCGACAUCGGAAGUACGGGUAAUGCACAGGACGGUAAUGUACGCGCAGCAGCAGUAGCCCCGUCCGGAGCGACAGCUAACGGAGCGGUCGGCAACCCGCACAGCCGGGUCACGACGACACCGUCGAACUUAAGUAAUUGCAGUGGCCUACCGACCGUCACCGUGGUGCAGCUGAAACAGAGCAAAAAUCUCAUCUACUUCCUGCGAUUGAUCUUCAAUCACUGUAAGAGCUCCGGUAUAGGAGAGCCGAGCGUUUAUCAUGCCUUAGUAGUCAUAUUUUUGGAAUUUUUCGCCUGGGGACUGUUAACGAUGCCGGUCAUCAAUGUCCUCAAUCAAACCUUUCCAGAUCACACCUUCCUAAUGAACGGGUUGGUGAUGGGCAUCAAGGGCAUACUGUCCUUCCUGAGCGCUCCACUGAUUGGCGCACUGUCGGACGUGUGGGGCAGGAAGUUCUUCCUGCUAAUUACGGUGUUCUUCACCUGCGCUCCGAUCCCUCUGAUGUCGAUCAACUCUUGGUGGUUCUUUGCAAUGAUCUCAAUCAGUGGCGUGUUCGCGGUAACGUUUUCCGUCGUGUUCGCGUACGUCGCGGACGUGACGACGGUGGAGGACCGGUCACGGGCGUACGGUUUGGUGUCAGCCACGUUUGCCGCUAGUUUGGUUAUUUCACCUGCCCUCGGAGCCUACCUGAACGACAAAUACUCGGAACCGCUAAUCGUUGCCCUCGCCACUGCAAUCGCGGUGCUGGAUGUGUUCUUCAUACUGGUGGCGGUGCCGGAAAGCUUACCGGAAAAGGUGCGUCCCAGCUCGUGGGGUGCACCGAUCAGCUGGGAACAGGCAGAUCCGUUUGCAGCACUUCGUAAAGUUGGUCUGGAUCAAACGAUUCUGAUGCAGUGUGUUACGGUGCUGCUCUCCUAUCUGCCCGAAGCGGGACAAUAUUCGUGCAUUUUCGUCUACCUGAAACUGAAAAUGCAUUUCAGCUCGAUCGAUGUAUCGAUCUUCAUUGCUGUCGUCGGUAUACUAAGUAUACUGACGCAGGUCAUCCUAGGUGAUCUAAUGAAGGCACUUGGUGCAAAGCGUACAAUAAUAAUAGGAUUACUGUUCGAAAUGUUACAACUGCUUUGGUAUGGUUUUGGCAGUCAGACAUGGAUGAUGUGGGCAGCAGGUAUCCUUGCUUCAUUAGCGUCAAUUACGUACCCGGCGAUCAGUGCAUUCGUGUCGAUACAUUCCAACCCGGACCAACAGGGAGUGGUCCAGGGUAUGGUGACAGGAAUGCGCGGUUUGUGCAACGGGCUGGGGCCCGCAAUGUUCGGCGUCAUCUUCUACGUGUUUCACGUCGACCUGAACGACGAGCAUAAUGUAGCGAGCCACAGCCUGAACGGGGCCGCCAUCGGGGCGGUAGCGGGCGGUGGCGUGUUCGACGGCUCCGACGCCAAGUUCGUGCGCAACGAGACGCUGCUCGGUGGCUCGGUGCACCAUCACAUCGAGGACGAGUACUCGCAGCUCAUGCCGGGCCCGCCGUUCGUGUUCGGAGCACUCAUGGUUAUCUGUGCGAUCGCUGUGGCAGCCUUCAUACCGGAGACGCCGAGCGACACCAUGCGGCGGCCAUCGGGUGAGAAGAAAAAAAGCGGCUAUCGGAGCCAAGACAGAUUGACCGUUCUUAUUGGAGACUGAUUAGUGCGGUGAUGAUAAGUGAGAAACAAACACACAUACAUACAUACAGCGGGCGAUACGACGACUCAGACGGGGGUUCAGAAGUAAUGGACAGAGAUGUGUGCGAGCCUGUUGUAGAGUGUUUUAUUUUAUUUUUCCACCAACUCACCACUACCACCACUCCACCAUUAUUAACAACCACAACAACAACCGUUGCACAACUUGCUACUGUUUCUCCAGUUUUGUUUUUGUUUUUUGUGUGCCGCACUUAUCUCACUCCCAAGUUGGAAAAGUGUUCCGUUCACCUGAUUUUGUCGAUGUGGGAGUUGUUGUAUGGAGUUGAUUUUAAUAUCCUGUGCUUCGAAGGUGCUGCUGGAAUGUGCGUCGCAGCAAAACUACAGUUUGUUAUUGAAGGCUCUCGUUGGACGUCGAUUACGAGUACGAGCGUGGGCGUAAAGUAGCGGGCCCACUAUCACCACUGAUGCACCAGGACUCGGCCCAGCUAUAGUUGUGUUAAAAAGAAAUAAGAGAAAGCCCACAGCUUAGCUCGACAUAAUCCUAAUAUCGGCGUCAUCAUUAGUUUGUACAAUCUCUAGUGUAAGCAAAAAUCAAAGAAGAGCCGAGCACACGGCGUGAAUGCGGUUACGAGAGCGAGAAAAAAAUGCGGUAGCGCAGGGCCAAUCUAAGGGCUGAGGUGGAGUGAUUAAACUUUCGGUUCGUGGCAGGGAAUUGUUGACCGGUAUGCAGUCGAGGCGCGAAAUGUGCUGUGUAAAAUGUAUUAGUCUGUUUAUUACUUUGUGUUUUUUGCUCCUGAGUUUCCAGCAUGAUGUUGUGGUCGAGCUGUUAGUAAGGACAUGAAGAUUUAUAAUUCCGCUAGGAAAAGCUUCUGUUCUGUUUGCCCCCUUUUGUGGAUGAUGGUUUGAGGAUUAAUUUUAACAACAGUUACACUUUAUUUCUACUGUUUUGUAAGAGGGGGAAACACAAGUCGAUUUGCCCUCAUUUUGUCGCCCUAUUUUACAUCACGCAUAUGUGUUUCUGUUACGGUGUUGAUAUGAAAGGCAAAAGUGUGAACUUUUAGAACGAUUACACGUUUUUUGUUUUUGUUGGGAUGGAAAGCUUUAAGCCGAACGCGAGCUUUCGUGGUUCGUUUCGGAGCACUUGGAACGCAUAAAACCCCUUACACCUUACCUGUAGUUGUGACACAACGAACGUACGCCAUUUUGUAGAAUUGUUCGCUCGUAGUUUGUCCAGAUAAUUCUCCACAGUCUAGUCAACCGACGGACGGACGGACACACAAACACACUGAACAGGCGAGCACCCAGAUAGCAUCGUCUGGGCAGCAGCGGCAGCGCCGGCGGGUGUGGGAAUUCCACUGCGCUAACUAAUCUUGCGUCAUUGGACGGUUGCGUUUGGUCAGUUUUAGUGUUGAUAGCAGCGAGUUAAAGGAACAGAGAGUUACGCACGUCUACCGUCGUCGCCGGUGUAUAUUAGGACUGAAAUGAAGGGAGGGAAAGGUUGGGCAGAGAAAACAAACAACACGUGGAGAAGAGGAGGGAGAAAGAGUAUUUUUUGUCCGUGGUUCGCUUAGUCUACGACAAGAAAACCGAGUGAUAGUAGGAUUAGAUUAUCGAUUAGGGUGGAGAAAUGGAAAGAGAAGGAAGAGGAAAUAAUCGAGCAGCUAGUGUUGUGUGCAUGUGUGUCGGACGGAGAAAACCAUCAGCAGUAGCAGCAGCAGCAGCAUGUACGAAAAAGGCUCCUACCAAUAUUAGCUUUCCUGCCGUGCCUGCUCUUUGGGUGAUAUGUUUUAAGUGUAUGCGUGUAAAAAUUAUGUUAAAAUAGUAUGUUGCCAGAAUUUAACAAACGCUAUCGUUUUUGGCUUUGAUUCGAGUUUAAUAAUCUACCUACACAGGAGGGAAGGAGGAGAUGGUUCUAAAACUCGUUUAACAUUCGUAAACAGUAUGGUUAGAGAGUUUGCUAAACGGACGUUACUCUCAGUGUGUUGUUGGGAGCAUUUUUACUUACACACAUACAGACCGCAGGUAGUGAAUUUUGUAAAAGAUUUCCUUUCCAUUACGCUGCUAAUACGUUACAGAGACAGAGAGAGAGAGUGAAAAGCGCACUUUUAAAAUACCAAUAUACACAGUACACCACACGGCGACGCCGCAAAGGAAAAAUUUGUUGAUUUACGUAUGUGUGUAUGCCGUUUAAUUGGACUCUUCAUAUUGCAAGGUGGCAUCCUGUGGAGAGAAUUUAAAGAUAAUUACGCGCCAUACACCAGCACGACGGGAGCAUCUUUUUAGUGUGUAAUAUAACGCAACCAACAACUGCUGCAGCAAUUCAAAUGUACAUGUAAAAAAAGAAUGAAGAAAAAAAAUUACAAAAAAAAACAAAGUUAUAGCAGUAUCAGAAUUCAAGCAACCACAAGCCGAAAAAGGAACAUAAAUUAGCGAUUUAAUAGUGUCAUGUGUUGAUGCUCUCUUGUUACGCUGCAGAACGUCCAACAUCGAUCUAUCGAACGAGAUACGCAAACCCAACACAGACAACCACACACACACACUGUUAGUCCAAAGAUUAUGAAUUAACUUGAACUACUAGUGGUAGAGCGUUAGUAUUAAACAAAAAGGGCAUCAGAAACAUCCCGAGAAUGCGAGUUUUUUUUUGUAAGAUGCCAGUACGCCGACGAUAACAGAUAAACAGAAACAAAAACCAACAAUAAAUACCAACCCAAGCAUAUGUAAUGGAAAUUAACAAUCCUCGUUUGUGCAUCAUGCAUAAACCACGUGUGGGGCACACGUGCAAGGGGGGGGGAAAGUAGUAGCUCCACAAAUUGUUUUUCUUUUUUCCACCCCCAAAUUUCUCUGGGUGUGUGUGUGUAGAAAAAAGUGAGAAGAAAACGCAUAUUGCUGCGAUAAUCGAAUGCCAUUCGUUUCGUUUCUGUAGACUGCGCACAGUAGUAGCGCAAAAACGGUGCGUUUAAAUCUCGCGUUUCUUUCUGCAUACAAGAACAAAACAAAAGCAGCAAUCGCAGCAAUCGCUGCCGGCGUUAUUGUUGUUGAACUGUUGUCUUUUUUCCCCUUCUUAAUGUGUAAAACUCUCCCACACAUUAUUCGGCCCCCCCCCCCGGGGGCCCCAGACAGACUUAAGCAUUUGCGCCCUUUUUCAUAUGGCCGCAAAGAAACGUACGCAUCAUCAGGAAGAGAGAAUAUUUGUUGACGUAUUCCCAUAUUGCGUAUAUGCGAGUGCGUGCAUGUAGCCGUUACGAUACGCUUUUCCAAUACGGUUACAAUUUUCAAAACUUCCUUUCCCGCCAUUUUUUGCGUUGUGUUCAUUCUUCUCACCUAGGGCAGCAUCUCGGUUUCACUUACUUACACUUACAGUACAAGUGUAAGUACGCCGAAGACGCAUAGCGAGAGUAAGCAAACAAACAAACGGCAUUAUAACGACAAAAACAGCGAAAUCAAAGCGUUACAUACAUAUUUUUUCUCUUUCAAUUAGCUUUCUUUCCCUCUCGCUCUCUCCUUCUCUUUCUUUCAAAUGAUGUUGAUGCUUUCUUAGAAAGCAAAGCAAGAGAGGAUAGAGAAAGAAAACUACUUGAAAGUGAACGUAGUACACAACAGCCCCAGUUAAGUAAAUUUGUAAAUUAUAAGAGAACAAACAAAAAAAACGUGUGAAAAGGGUAAAAUACGUGAAGCGAACACAGAGAAAGAGAAAGGAGUGUGGUAAAAGUACAGAAACGAAUUCGGGUAGCAAAACUAUGCAAAGUGCUGUUGUGUAAGAAAGAGAAUGAAUGUGUGUGUGUGUGUUUGAAUGAAGAGAGAAAGAGUAAAGGAAAGGAAGUUGUGCUAGGCGAAAGGUAAUAACCGUGUGAAUCGUUGAAUCGUUGUGGAUAGAGCAGAAUGGAAUAGGUAAACGAAUGAUGAAAAGGAAGGGAAAUAAAUAUUGGUAAAAUAAUUUGAACCAAA